GAGGCCCGCCUGCCCUGUGACUAUAUGUUUAACGGCCGCGGUUAUUUUGACCGUGCGAAGGUAGCGCAAUCACUUGUCUUUUAAAUGGGGACCUGUAUGAAUGGCAUAACGAGGGCUUAACUGUCUCCUCUUUCAAGUCAAUGAAAUUGAUCUCCCCGUGCAGAAGCGAGGAUAGAUACAUAAGACGAGAAGACCCUAUGGAGCUUUAGACACUAAAGCAGAUCAGUAUUAAUACCCUGAACAUAGGCUACGAAUAAACUGACCCCUGCCCUAAUGUCUUUGGUUGGGGCGACCGCGGAGAAAAAUAAAACCCCCGCAAGGACUAAAUGUACUACAUUCACAAACAAGAGCGACAGCUCUAACUAACAGAACUUCUGACCAAUAAGAUCCGGCAAUGCCGAUCAAUGAACCGAGUUACCCUAGGGAUAACAGCGCAAUCUCCUCUUAGAGCCCAUAUCGACGAGGAGGUUUACGACCUCGAUGUUGGAUCAGGCAUCCUAAUGGUGCAGCCGCUAUUAAGGGUUCGUUUGUUCAACGAUUAAAGUCCUACGUGAUCUG
rnacentral:rRNA from 1 species